GAUGAAGAACGUAGCGAAAUGCGAUAAGUAAUGUGAAUUGCAGAAUUCAGUGAAUCAUCGAAUCUUUGAACGCACAUUGCGCCCGCUAGUACUCUGGCGGGCAUGCCUGUCCGAGCGUCAUUUCAACCCUCAAGCCCCCGGGCUUGGUGUUGGGGAUCGGCGAGCCUCCGCGCCCGCCGUCCCCUAAAUCUAGUGGCGGUCUCGCUGUAGCUUCCUCUGCGUAGUAGCACACCUCGCACUGGGAAACAGCGCGGCCACGCCGUUAAACCCCCAACUUCUGAACGUUUGACCUCGGAUCAGGUAGGAAUACCCGCUGAACUUAAGCAUAUCAAUAAGCGGAGGA
rnacentral:misc_RNA from 1 species